AUACGUAGGGAGCGAGCGUUGUCCGGAAUUACUGGGUGUAAAGGGAGCGUAGGCGGGAGUGCAAGUCAGAUGUGAAAUACAUGGGCUCAACCCAUGGACUGCAUUUGAAACUGCAUUUCUUGAGUGAAGUAGAGGUAAGCGGAAUUCCUGGUGUAGCGGUGAAAUGCGUAGAUAUCAGGAGGAACACCGGUGGCGAAGGCGGCUUACUGGGCUUUUACUGACGCUGAGGCUCGAAAGCGUGGGGAGCAAACAGGAUUAGAUACCCUGGUAGUCCACGCUGUAAACGAUGAUUACUAGGUGUGGGGGGACUGACCCCUUCCGUGCCGCAGUUAACACAAUAAGUAAUCCACCUGGGGAGUACGGCCGCAAGGUUGAAACUCAAAUGAAUUGACGGGG
rnacentral:rRNA from 1 species